UACAGAGGGUGCGAGCGUUAAUCGGAAUUACUGGGCGUAAAGGGUGCGUAGGUGGUUAAUUAAGUUAGAUGUGAAAUCCCUGGGCUUAACCUGGGAAUGGCAUUUAAGACUGAUUGGCUAGAGUUUGGGAGAGGGAAGUGGAAUUUCCGGUGUAGCGGUGAAAUGCGUAGAUAUCGGAAGGAACACCAGUGGCGAAGGCGACUUCCUGGCCCGAUACUGACACUGAGGCACGAAAGCGUGGGGAGCGAACAGG
rnacentral:rRNA from 1 species